CUCGGAGUCACUCGCCGAGCUCCUGACAUGAAUCACACCGCGGAGCGAACUCUGCAGGGAGAUGGGCAAAUUCCGGCUCCAAAGAAAGGAAUCGCUGAGCGUGUGGCACAGCUGGCCUGGAGGAAUGUGAAGCACAAGAGGAAAUCUCUCCCUUCCGCCUCCCAUCACACCCUACCCCGAACAUGAGAAGAAAAGUCAUUGGAGUGAUCCGAGCAGAAUCAGAACAAGCACUUAGUGGUCUUUAAGGACCCAUAAAACACUUCAGUAGUUUGCUGUUUUAUAUCUGACUAUCUCCUACAUUAGCCAUUUAAAUUAAAACAUUUAUAAUUAAUUGAACAAAUCAUUUCCUCUCUCCCCCCUUUGGGGACUGGCACGCAUAAGUCUUCAGUAAAUUUUAGUCUCUUAAGCAACGGGGGUAUCCAUUUCUUUUAUAAGGCUGGUUUUCCUGCAGGGUGUGAAUCAAGGGCAGGCACAGAGCAGUUUUAACUGGAAAAUCAAUUGAUAAGGAAGACAAAUUAACGCAUAUUUUUUCAAAAGGGGGAAUGCAGAAGGCACCAGGCUCCUCCCACCCCAGGGGCAGAUGUUUCCCUUCCGGCUUCCUACAGCUGUGCUGCAAUGGGGCAGAGGGAGGGGAAGGGUGGGGGGUUGUUGGAGAAACACAGGGGUGUGUGGGGUGAUCCCCACUGGAACGCAGCACAGAAGGGUGAGGUCGAGGGCCCUAUCAUUUCCAAAGAGCCACUUUCGGAUAAGAAGCUUAAACAGAAGGAUAAUCUGGGCAGCGUGAUCCUCAUCCUACAGCCACCUCCAAAAGCGACAUGGGUAAGAACCAACAAUGCUGGAAAGGGGACAUUCCCUGCACAAAGCAUGGAACACGGCCCAGGGCAGCCCACAGCGGGGUCUGCCAUGAGAAUCUGCCAAGGGAAAAGGGGAGUGCCCCAGGAUAAGAAAAAAAAAAAAAAAAAAAAGCAAAGUAAAAUCAGGGCAAAGCUUAGCAAAGAUAACCGAGCUGAGAUGCACCGUGCAUGGGAUGUUCCAGGUGGGUGACAGUGGGGGCAGCCCCCGGGGCAGUGUGUGCUGAGAUGGAGGGGCCCUGGAGGAGCCCUGGCCUCUUCCAAUGCUCCAGUUUGUUUUGAUGCCCUGGAAAUGCCUUUGUCAGCAGAUCUGUUCUUUUAUUGUGAAAGAGCCUAUUAGCUUCUGCUUUCUACUUCUGUGGGAAUUUAUCCCUCCAUCAGAUCUUCAAUAUAAAAGUGCUUCCCUUACUGAGAUUGAUACCGUGUAUAUGAAAAGCUCCGCGUGCCUCUGGGCGAGGCGGCCCUUUCCCUGAGGAAGGAUGAAGAAUGGCUUUGAAAGCAAAGCACCGAGCAGCUCCUGAAGAUGAAAUCUCAAUUCCGAGGUCUGCUGUGACCUUCCCUGCGGCCUUGGGCCGUCACCGGGGUCUCCGAUCCCCCCACAAUGCAGAGGUUCUCACCGGGCUCUGCACCCCAACUGAGCACCGUCCCGCACCCCACAGCAGGACCGGGGCCAGGUUAAAAUAAUAAAUAACAAUAAUCAUCGGCUCGAGGCUCUGCAGCAAUGCAUCGCCAUGGCAACCACGUGCCAGCAGCGAUGCUGCUUCUCUGACAGCUGCGGGUCCCUCUGCCACCAGCGUGCCCCCAGCCCUGCCCACCGCUUGCAGCGGGCUCCACUUGGUGACAUUCCCUUAGCGAACCAUCCGGAAAGCUGAACCUGCAUAGGGAAGGGGACUGUGUGGCUGCAACCUCUUUGGGUGCUGGAGGUGGGGGUCACCCCGCCGCUGCCCCCCCCUUUUUAUCUGCCCAGAGUCAAAUUUAAUAAACAGCCAGAUGCUCUCAAUUUAAUCAUCAAAAUACCUUGCAGAGGAUUAACUGCCAGUUUCCUCUCUUAAUCACUAUUGAUAUAAUGAGAUGACAGACAGCUUUCUGAAGGGGGAAUGUAUUUAGCGGGAGGGUUCUGCUGCACUGUGGCACACUGCGCUUGGUGGAGGCUCAGGAGCAGCUCUGGGGUGGAUGGAGCCCGGAGGGGGUGGGUGCAGGGUGGCACCUCGCAGUCCCGUUCCCCUUCAGCUUCCAAGAUUUAAAAACAACAACAAGAAAAGGAAAUUAAAAAUGUAUUUCACCAGGCAACAAAUCCCCUCGAUAACAGAAAUGCUAAGGUGGCAGGAGAGAGCCAGACUUAAUCCGCAGACAGCGUUGCUCCUCUUGCUCAUGCAGGAGCUGCUGGGCACAGUGGGAUCCUGCCUGACCAAGGGAGCCCAGAGCAUUUCCCCAUUCGUCUCGCACUCCUCCCAGUCUGUGCACCUCAAAAUUGCAACCCAGAGUGGCUUCUGCCCCAAUGCAAGGGAUAAGCAAAGCUGGAGACAGCUCAGCAUGCAUCCAUCCCUGGUGGAAGCCAGAACAGCUCUGCCUAUGGAUUAUAUCCCACCCAGAUUUAGAGGAGAAAGGAACUAUUAUGAGAAAUAGAUCAGAAGUGACACAGCUCAUUACUGCGAGGUGAGCCCGAGUUGGAGACAAGGGCAAAGUUAAUAGAAAACGUAUCCAAUCCACAAUGGUAACUUUAAUUGUUACCACUAAUGAAGCCUAUUUAGGAUGUAUUAUGUAUCUGGCACUUCAGAUGCAGCCCUUCAUUCAUCUUCCAUGUCAAGUGUCUCUUCGCAUCAGACCCACACGAGGGGGGGUUUACCCUUUUUCUGGAACAGUCGCAGCUCACACCCAGCCCCACAGCACCCAGUGCCCAUGGGAUGACUGCACGGCCCCAAGGAGGUGAGCGCUGCCCCAGCCCUGCCCUCCACCACCCCUUUCCCACUGGAAUUAAGGGCAGUUUGUAAUUGCUUUCUUCAGUAACAAAACCUUUGGAGGAAAGGGCCAGUGAUAGAUUCCAGGUUUUAUCGGAGCUGACAAGGAGCACUGCUCGCACGGCACCAGACCCGGCACCUUGGCAGACACCAGCUCUGCGCUGACCAUCCCCUGGGGCACCAACAGACAUCAUUUUUUGAUUUAUUAAUAUAGGAAUUAAGCAUGCUGUCUGGUUGGGUUCCUGCGGUGCUGCUGAGCAACAAGCGUGGCCCUGGCGUGCCAUGCCCACAUUGGGACACGUUGCCCAGGGAGUGGUGGGGUCACCGUCCCUGGAGGUGUUCAGAACCGUGGGGAUGAGGCACCGAGGGAUGUGGUCAUUGGGCAUGGGGAGGUUGGAUUGAGAUUGGGCUCAGGGUGGGGCUUGGUGAUCUUAGAAGUAUUCUCCAGCCUCAGUACCAACUGAGCUGUAUGUGGCCAUUCAUUAUCAUGGCUUGGCUGUGAAUUAUAAGCACUGCUGCAGCCUCCCCCGGCGCACAGAGCCGUUAGCCACCGCGUCCCACAUGGGCACGUUCUCCCAUUUGUCUCUUCCCCAUUGGGAAGAUGACUGCUGGCCAUUCAGGAGGACACCGCAGUCACGCCCCGGGGAUUGAUUACUGCCCUUCAGUGGAACCCAGCUCCAUCCAGGAUGUGCCCAGAGGACCCUCCCAAAGGGGAUGAGGAGGUUGGGACAGCAUCUUCUGGGCACUGCUCCACUUCCAAGUCCAGAUGGGAAGUCCAGUGCCCCUGGGAUUAAAGACCACAGCGCUUGGAUAUUACUGAUAUUAUGGUAAUGGGAGCCACUGAAAAGCUAAGAUGGAUGGAUCCAUCUCCUCUUCUGUCCAUUGUAUCCAUCAUAUAACUGUGUUUUACUGCAAUAUCUCUUUAAAUAAUGCUGCUUGCUUUCCACCGGGGAGGGAGAAAUAAUAAUAAUAAAAAAAAUGAUUGAAAAGAAAAGGAAGUGACGGGGGGAUGGGUAAUUAUACUCCACAGAAAUUAAGGAAAAGAAAAAUGGCAUAAAAAAAUUACUUCUCACAUAAAAGGGCAUUUCAUAAUGGACCUUUAAAGCAUUCCAUCAAGUAAAACCAACACAUUUAUUUGAAGUGUUAAAGAGGAACCUUCAAUCAAUCCGAGAACUUCAUUUUUACACUGUAAUGAAUUCCAUUGACCUUUGUGUUGUAAAGACAGUGCGGUGGUGGGGGAGUGCUCUGUGACCGUGUUCCCACUGUGGCCUCUGAGCUGGGUACCAGGGCUGAGCUGUGGCCAUGUCCCUGGGGCUGCCUGGAGAGGACUCCAGGAAGGUUCCAGCUGCAGGAGUUGGCCAAACCCAAUGUGUCCCAUCACUGCUCCUGCUCCUGUAGGGCUUCUCCAUGGGGCUGUGUAGAAUGCACCAUGCAAAUCAUGCGGGAAGCCCAUGGAGGAGCAGGGAAGAAGUGAUGGGAUGUGAAGCAGCAGCAGGAUCUGCCUGCACCAUGUCUGCAUGCUCUGCACUGAAAUCCUGAGCUCAGACCUCUGCUCCCAGCGCAAUUACUAUCAGCUAAUGGGAGCUGGGAAAUUACCACUCCCUUUUCACUGAUUGAAAUCCCAUUUUGUCUACGCACGUUGUCAGUGGAAGGGCAUUCACUCAUUAACCCUGGAAAAUCCAAGACAAAGGCUCCAGGCCCCAUAUCUGAGCAGUCUGUGCACCGUGGGCCUGUGCAGAAGCAGAGCUGGAGGGCUCCAGACAUGCACGGGGGAUGGAGGAGCCCAGGUCUCAGCUCUUAGGGCUCAGUCUUGGCCAGGACAGACCCCACAUCCAGCUGUGACACUGCUAACAAUGGCUAAAAUACAGGAAAAGCAUUUAUUACUGAGGAACUAAUCCCCUGAAUUGCACCAGGGCUAAUUGACAUUUAUAAAAAACAUCCUCAUCAUAAACAUAUAUUAACCUUUGAAGCACAUAUAACAGCAAUAGCAAAGUAUAUAACGAGAGUAGAGAGAUGCACCGAGCACCAGACUUUCUGGCUGGAAAUGUCACUCUGCCUCCUUUGGGCUGAAUUCUGAAGUUUUCCCACAGUUAGCAGCAUUUCCAAGCUUCCAUGUUGUGUGUUAGUUAGAUGAUGUGCCCUCCUGCCCCUGUGACCGUAGGAAUCCCAAUGGAAACCAGCCCAAUCCCUGCUGCCUUGUCCCAUGCUCCCUCUCUUUCCCAAGGGGGGAAAGAAAAGAAGGGAAAAGAAAAUGAGAUCAAAAUCUGUGCUUCUUCACUCCAUCUGCCCACAUCGUUACCAGCCAAGUGGUCAAUGCACAUCUCAUUUAACAAGAAACUAAUGAAGAUCUAUCGCUGCUCCUUAGCUUCGCUGCCACCCCCAUUGCUCAGUGGCGCCUUUGCAUGGCAUGUGCAUUCAAAGCUGCAACCUCACACUGCAGAAACAAUGCUGUCCUGUGGGGAAAGCCAUAAAUCAGGUUCCCCAUGUACACAUGUGUAUGCACACGUAUGGAGGAGCUCUUCCUGCUGAGCCCAGCGAGGGGCUGGGGGAGGAUUUGUUUCCACCAAACCCAGGGCUUUUGUUUGCUCAGUAAUCAAGAAGCACUUCUGAUUUCCGUGGUGUGCAUCUCCUCGUAAAGCCUCAGAGUCAACAAAAGCCAAAGCCAUUUAACUCAGCGCUAAUAUAAAAGUGAGCAGGAAGGAGAGCGCGCGUGGCAGUGAGCACAAGGCUUUCCAGAGCAGCAGUGAGCAGCAAUUACACUUAUCGGGAGCGCUGGGGUGGAAUCCGGCACGUCUGCAGGCUGGUGCCAGUAAUCACAGUUAAUUUCACAAAGUCUGGAUGACAUAUAGGGAAGAUUUAGAUGUUCUAAUUACUCCACUGAAUACCAGGGGUGCUGCUGAUGAGGGAGGCAGGCACAUGCACAUCCACACAUCCACACUCCAAGCCAAUUAGGAAAGAAAAACAGCAACAAGGAGCCUGCAGGCUCACAAGCUCUUUGCAAAAAGCAGCUCUGAGCUGACCUACCCCUUGCUGCACGACCACAGACGAGCCA